rnacentral:rRNA from 1 species
UACGGGGGGGGCAAGCGUUGUUCGGAAUUACUGGGCGUAAAGGGCUCGUAGGCGGCCAACUAAGUCAUACGUGAAAUCCCUCGGCUUAACCGGGGAACUGCGUCUGAUACUGGCGGGCUCGAGGUCGGUAGGGGGAAGCGGAAUUCCGGGUGUAGUGGUGGAAUGCGUAGAUAUCCGGAGGAACACCAGAGGCGAAGGCGGCUUCCUGGACCGAUUCUGACACUGAGGAGCGAAAGCGUGGGGAGCGAUCCGG